rnacentral:tRNA from 1 species
GAGUUCUAGUAAAAUAUAAAUAUUACAUAACCAUGUCAAAGUUAAAUUACGGGGUAAUCUCCGUGUGCUCCUA